rnacentral:lncRNA from 1 species
CAUAACUGGCUCCCACUCCCACUGCUGCCAUGACCUCAUCUACGACUCCACUCACAUUCCCUUUGUUCAAGUCACAGUGGUCUCCCAGCAGGUCCUGACACAUGCCUAGCUUGUUCCUGCCACAGGGACUUUGCACUUACUCUUCCUGCCGCCUAAAACCUUCUUACCCCAGGUAUCUGCAUGGCUCAUUCUCACCUUCCUUGGACUCUGCUCAAAUGUCAUCAGAGAAGCCCUCAUAGAUAACACUAAAUGAACCAGAGGUGCUUCAUCCAUCACUUUCUCUCCCCUGACCCAAGGACCAGCUACAUGCUUUGAGGGGCCCAGUGCAAAAUGGAAAUGUGAGAUCCUUGGUUCAAAAAGCAAGGGAAAAAAUACGUGAUGUUAAAGAUCCUGUACUCCUGAACGUCUUCCCUGGAAAACUUCUUCCUGGGAUGUGGGCCCCCAGGCAACACCAUCGAGUUGAAGGGUUCUAUAACCGAAGGGACUUCUGGACCAGUGAGCUCAGCUCUUUGCCUAAGAGGGAGAAAAGGGAGCUCCACAGUCAUAGCUGGUCCACCAUGGUGCUGGUGCGCUGUCUUGGCCUCCUUCUCACAUGCCAGUGCUCUUCCUAUCCUGACCUCCAUAGAGGGACCUUUUCUCCUUGGAACUACCUGAGGUUCAGAAUACUAAAUAAGGCCGCAAAGAUGAGGAUGAAAGCCUGCAGGUUCAGGAUGGUGGGAAAGAUGGCAUUGGAACAAACGGUAACAUCUAGCAAGCAGUUUGCAUCGACUCUGCACGACAACCAAAAUAUGCUGUGUUGUCCAAAUGAAAAUUCUCCAAAAUAAUGACAUCAAGAUCAAACCAAGAUAAAGAGCUGGCAUCAUUAUACUUGACAGGCAUAUACAGUACUUAUGCUGAAAUUGAAAUGAUCAAAACUAACCUCAUGGAAAAAUGUAAGCACCCAAAGGUUGUAAGAAAAGUCAUACAAAUCAAAUUUAUAAAGCAAAUAAAUCAAAUUUAUAAAGCAA